UUUACAGUUCCUUUGUGUCGAACUACUUUCUGUUGUAUAAUAAUAUUUUCCUAUAUUUUUUUGAAUAAUGUAUGUUAUAUAAUCCAUACAUAGUAAAUAUAUGAAACAAUAGUUCAUUUUGAUUCAUUUACAUAUAUCUCUAAAUAUGAAACAGAAAAAUGUUUAAUUAUAUUUUCAGGACACAAAGUAUGGCAACACUGCUAUUUGUCAUAAAUGUAAACACACAAAUCUCUUGAAAGUUUGAAUGUGCAAAAUAGUUUUUAAAAUAUAUUUAUUUUCUUAAAAAAACACAAUUAGUGAAAAAUUUUUGAUAUAUUUGAAUGUGUACAGUGUAAUUAAAUAUAUAUUGAUUGAAAAAUGUGUGAAAAGUGGGUUGAACAUAGUGAAAUAACGAGCAUUAUUUUUACAAAUUUUCCAACUUUAGACAGAAAUAUCUCGAAAACUAUUAGCCUGAGGACAUUUUUUAAUCCUGAGGACUUCCUCUAUCCAUCCGUAUCAUCAAACCGCGGAGCCAAAAGAAUCGUAAUAUUACCCAAUUAUUUGCCCCUGUAUUUUAUUUUUUCCUCACACGCCCCUAUCUUUGAAUUUUAAUUAAAUUUGGUCCAUGUUUAUCCAAUUUGGUUCACUUUAUGGUUCAUAAAUGAAAAGUCAUUCGGCAACUAUAUUGGUAAUAAGAUGCGUGCAGAUCGCAAGAAUGAUAGAGAAAGAGAUUACGCAAUGCGCAUGUUUGCUUUCAGUCAGCUGUUCUUGCUGACGUCACGGUUGACUUAUUUUUCGCCCGCGCUUGUGAAAGUGAAUUCGAAUUGUGUUUUCAAGUGUUGUAUUAAUUGUUAAAUUCUAUAUUUUUAAAAUGCGUUGUGCAGUGUUCGGUCGUAAUAACAAUGGUAAAAAUAGUGCUACGAAGUGGAGAUUUUUUCAUUUUCCUAAGGAUAAGACCGUAGUAAAACAAUGGAUCCAUUUUUGUCGUCGGACGGACAAAAUUAACGUUAAAAAUGCAUGCAUUUUUGUCGUCGGACGGACAAAAUUAACGUUAAAAAUGCAUGCAUUUGUGAAGUGCACUUCGUGCCAGAAGCCUUCGAAAGGAACUUGCAGUCUGAAAUGGGUAAUUAUAGCAUUUUUAUUACAAUAAUUUUACUUUUAUAACCGAACACUCUUCCUGGUUUAAGUUCGCGGAAUCCAACUAAGUUGCUACCUAGCGCUUUUCCCACGUUAACCACUGCUCUUGCAGAGGCUAAUGAACGGCAGAAAAGGAUGGAGUCUCGUUCCAAAAAAGAGAUGUUAACAACAAUGUUGAAGAAUACCGCCUCUGUUGAAGUAAUUCUAGAAGACGAGGUGGGAGAGACACCUCAAACUGCAGGAGAGGAGAUCAUCGAUAAGAAAGACGAGAAAAUACUGCAUUUGGAAACAGAAAUACAAAGGCUGAAUAGUGUUGUUAGAACUUUGAAAAAGUGCAAAAAAACGAGCAGUUAGAGGAUAUUAAACGCCUUAGGAUUUCCAUUAAAACCGCUGAAUUCCACAGAAAUAAUUUAGAGUAAAAACUUAGCUGCAUUUUCACCAACGGCCAGAUUGAAAAAUUAAGGGUUGGAAACAAACGGCGGAAUGGGAAAGAAGAAGACAUAGCUAAGUCGAUCACGCUAUAUUCAACGAGCCCGAAAGCUUACAAACUUUUAACGAGAAACAACUUUCCUCUACCAAGUGUGCGUACUCUGCAAUGGGGGUAAAAAAAAAUUGAGUUAGCUCCAGGUAUCAUAGAGCCGGUGAUGAAACUGUUGAAGGCAGCAACUGAGCUAACACAAGUGCAAAAAGUUUGUGUACUCAGUUUUGAUGAAAUGAAGGUCAGAAACAGUUACUGCUACAAUAGAUCCACUGAUUCGACAUUGCCUCCUGUUAACUACGUUCAGAUUGCAAUGAUAAGAGGUAAUUAAACUCAUUAAUUUACUUGAAGUCAAUUUUUUCUAAUGUACUUUGUUCUUUUAGGUUUGAAAAAUGACGAAGAAAGUAUGGUUUAGCAUUUUGUCAAGCGUUAAAAAAUGCGGUUACAAUAUUGUUGCCAUUGUAAGCGAUUUGGGUGGAUCCAAUAGAGGCUUGGGAGGAUGGAGUCAUGUGUAGAAGUUCACGCAAGUGAGGAAAGUUCUCUGAUCGCCAUUCACUUGGGAGUGGCCAGAAACGAUUCUUUUACAUAUGACUCAAGCAGCUCACGACUUCCGGUCUUUGACCAAGUAUCCUCUGGGUAGCCUAAGAACAUCCGUUUGAAGGCGAGCUAAAGUGAGAAGGCGAAAUAUCCCCUGCAUAGGGUUUGGGACCCGCCACGUAAAAAAACACCCCCAAUGAAAAGAAAAAAACAGCCUCGGACGAGAGACCCCCCUUUUGAUGACGACCAUGGCAAACGAAAUAAGAACAAUGAUUUGAGGGCAUGCACCUGGAAUGUCCGGUCCCUUAAUUGGGAAGGUGCCGCUGCCCAGCUGG